rnacentral:ncRNA from 1 species
CCGUCUCUCAGUUCUAGCCCAUCCCCUCGGAAGCUAGAAUUUUCAAGCGCCAUGUUCGCAUGGCGCUUUUUUUU